UACGUAGGGGGCAAGCGUUGUCCGGAUUUAUUGGGCGUAAAGAGCGUGUAGGCGGUUUGGUAGGUCCGUUGUGAAAACUCGAGGCUCAACCUCGAGACGCCGAUGGAAACCAUCAGACUAGAGUCCGGAAGAGGAGACUGGAAUUCCUGGUGUAGCGGUGAAAUGCGCAGAUAUCAGGAGGAACACCGGUGGCGAAGGCGGGUCUCUGGGCCGAUACUGACGCUGAGGAGCGAAAGCGUGGGGAGCGAACAGG
rnacentral:rRNA from 1 species